UACGGAGGAUGCGAGCGUUAUCCGGAUUUAUUGGGUUUAAAGGGUGCGCAGGCGGAUUUUUAAGUCAGCGGUCAAAUCGUGGGGCUCAACCCCAUCCAGCCGUUGAAACUGGGGAUCUAGAGUGUGCGAGAGGUAUGCGGAAUGCGUGGUGUAGCGGUGAAAUGCAUAGAUAUCACGCAGAACCCCGGUUGCGAAGGCAGCAUACCGGUGCACAACUGACGCUCAGGCACGAAAGCGUGGGUAUCGAACAGG
rnacentral:rRNA from 1 species